AGGUUUCCGUAGGUGAACCUGCGGAAGGAUCA
rnacentral:ncRNA from 2 species